rnacentral:lncRNA from 1 species
GUUGCCCAGAGAUGGUCACCCAAGAGGGGGGUGAAUUGGGUGUUUUAAAACUUUUUGUCCAAUUAAAAAUAAAACACACAAAUGUAUGAGCUAAGGUAAAAAUAGAGGUAUGAAAACAGACAAUCGCAAACACAAGGUUUUAUAGUGGUUCGGAGCUUCCACUGCUCCUACAUCCACUCUCCAAAGCACCUUUGGGAAUUUCCACUAUAAUCCAAGAUUACAGUCCGGUAGUUUUGCGAGUGCACUACCCAACUCGUUGUUUUACACCGGGCUAACAACGAACCCUACAACCUCCAAUUUCACCUAGGCUUGGGACACCUUUUCCUUGUUCCAAGUCCCUUGACUGGAACAAGCACAAUAACCAAAGGUUUUACAAAAGAUUUGAAAGCUCUAAAUAAGCAGAUAAAACAGUGAGAAAUAACAAAACCCGGAAGAACCCUUUUAGCCGUUGGAAGCGUGGGAAAUGGUGGUUCUUCCAAUGUGGAUCGCGUUGUCUUGAAUGUGAGCUUUGAAUGCCGAUCGGGAGAGAGUAGUUGAGCUCGAAAUCAGUUGGGAAGCUUGAAAGUACUUGAUUUCUUCACUUGNNNNNNNNNNNNNNNNNNNNNNNNNNNNNNNNNNNNNNNNNNNAAAUGAUCUUGUGUUGGGUUAGUGAGAAGUUGUUGGAAGGCACUUAAGAGCUCCCUUUUAUAGCCCAAAAAGCAAAUAUAGCCGUUAGACACAAAAAAAGAAAUGUUUGAAAUUCAAACAAACCUGCAAAAAGGUGUCAGUCGCGUCCCAGGCGCUCCGGAGACGUCUCCGCUUCAACGCGAGACGUCUCGGCUGUAAGAUUUUUCUUUUGACGUUGUUUGGGGUCGACUCGGCGCUUUACGGGGAUGACUCUGAUGAUGAACCGUUUGAAUGCUUGUUUUUCUAUUUUUCUGAGAGGGUCGCCUCGCCACUUUACGGGGACGUCUUGGGAUGUUUGCACUUUUUGCAUGGGGACGACUCCGCUGCCUCGGGGACGACUCCGCUGUUUUAUCUUCGAAAAACAAGUUCUCUGGAAUUCUCUGAGAGAGUUGACUCCGCUUUUUUCAGGGGACGUCUCCGCUGCCUUAUCAUCGAAAAAGACAUCCUCUGGAAUACCCUGAGAGAGUCGACUCCGCUACCUCGGGGACGACUCCAGAAGUCUGCUUUUUACUCGCGGGGACGACUCCGCGUCCUGUGGAGACGACUCACGCGCAUCCCUUGAAAUCGGCCUUUCUGCCGCCUCUGAGAGAGUCGACUCCGCCUCUGAGAGAGUUGUUGCCCAGAGAUGGUCACCCAAGAGGGGGGUGAAUUGGGUGUUUUAAAACUUUUUGCCUAAUUAAAAGUAAAACUCACAAAUGUAUGAACUAAAGUACAGAUAGAGGUAUGAGAACAAUCAAUCCCAAACACAAGGUUUUAUAGUGGUUCGGAGCUUCCACUGCUCCUACAUCCACUCCCCAAAGCACCUUUGGGAAUUUCCACUAUAAUCCAAGAUUACAGUCCGGUAGUUUUGCGAGUGCACUACCCAACUCGUUGUUUUACACCGGGCUAACAACGAACCCUAUAACCCCCAAUUUCACCUAGGCUUGGGACGCCUUUCCCUUGUUCCAAGUUCCUUGACUGGAACAAGCACAAUAUUGAAAAAGUUUUACAAGGAUUUAAAAGCUCUCAAGAAGCAAAUAAAACAGUGAGAAGUAAUAGAACCCGAAAGAACCCUUUUAGCCGUUGGAAGCGUGGAAAAUGGUGGUUCUUCCGAUGUGGAUCGCGUUGGCUUGAAUGUGAGCUUUGAAUGCCUAGCGGAAGAGAGUAGUUGAGCACGAAAUCACUUGGGAAGCUUGAAGGCACUUGAUUUCUUCACUUGAAUGCACUAACUCCCUUGAACCUCUUUUUCUUUCUUCUCUCUUGAAUAAUCUUGUGUUGGGUUGGUGAGAAGUUGUUGGAAAGCACUUAAGAGCUCCUUUUUAUAGCCCAAAAAGCAAAUAUAGCCGUUAGAGAUAAAGUUAAGGGAGUUUGAAAUUCAAACCAAACCUGAAAAAAUUGUCAGUCGCGUCCCAGGCGCUUCGGAGACGUCUCCGCUUCAAUGCGAGACGUCUCGGCUGUAAGAUUUUACUUUUGACGUUGUUUGGGGUCGACUCGGCGCUUUACGGGGACGACUCCGAUGAUGAACGGUUUGAAUCCUUGUUUUUCUAUUUUUCUGAGAGGGUCGCCUCGGCACUUUACGGGGACGUCUCGGCUUGUUUGCGCUUUUUGUAUGGGGACGACUCCGCUGCCUUGGGGACG